rnacentral:rRNA from 1 species
AAUAGAUACCCUGGUAGUCCAUGCCGUAAACGUUGGGCACUAGGUGUGGGGCCAUUCCACGGUUUCCGCGCCGCAGCUAACGCAUUAAGUGCCCCGCCUGGGGAGUACGGCCGCAAGGCUAAAACUCAAAGGAAUUGACGGGGGCCCGCACAAGCGGCGGAGCAUGCGGAUUAAUUCGAUGCAACGCGAAGAACCUUACCAAGGCUUGACAUGUUCUCGACCGCCACAGAGAUGUGGUUUCCCCUUUGGGGCGGGUUCACAGGUGGUGCAUGGUUGUCGUCAGCUCGUGUCGUGAGAUGUUGGGUUAAGUCCCGCAACGAGCGCAACCCUCGUUCCAUGUUGCCAGCGGGUUAUGCCGGGGACUCAUGGGAGACUGCCGGGGUCAACUCGGAGGAAGGUGGGGACGACGUCAAAGUCAUCAUGCCCCUUAUGUCUUGGGCUUCACGCAUGCUACAAUGGCCGGUACAAUGGGUUGCGAUACUGUGAGGUGGAGCCAAUCCCAAAAAGCCGGUCUCAGUUCGGAUUGGGGU